rnacentral:rRNA from 1 species
UGGGGAAUUUUGCACAAUGGGCGCAAGCCUGAUGCAGCGACGCCGCGUGAGGGAUGAAGGCCUUCGGGUUGUAAACCUUUUUCGCUCAUGGUCAAGCCGCAGCUUUGGGUUGUGGUGAGGGUAGUGGGUAAAGAAGCGCCGGCUAACUACGUGCCAGCAGCCGCGGUAAUACGUAGGGCGCGAGCGUUGUCCGGAAUUAUUGGGCGUAAAGGGCUUGUAGGCGGUUGGCCGCGUCUGCCGUGAAAUCCUCUGGCUUAACUGGGGGCGUGCGGUGGGUACGGGUUGACUUGAGUGCGGUAGGGGAGACGGGAAUUCCUGGUGUAGCGGUGGAAUGCGCAGAUAUCAGGAGGAACACCGGUGGCGAAGGCGGGUCUCUGGGCCGUUACUGACGCUGAGGAGCGAAAGCGUGGGGAGCGAACAGG